rnacentral:rRNA from 1 species
UACGAAGGGGGCGAGCGUUGUUCGGAAUCACUGGGCGUAAAGGGCGCGUAGGCGGCCCUCGUUUGUCGCGUGUGAAAGCCCCGGGCUCAACCCGGGAGGGUCGCGGCGAACUGGGAGGCUUGAGGCCGGUAGAGGUGGGUGGAACUCCUGGUGGAGUGGUGAAAUGCGUAGAGAUCAGGAAGAACACCCGUGGCGAAGGCGGCCCACUGGGCCGGUGCUGACGCUGAGGCGCGAAGGCGUGGGGAGCGAACGGG